AUUUAUGAUAGUUUAAUUAAUAAGAAUAAUAAUUUGUGGUAUUAUUGGUGAAUUUUUUCUCUAAAUC
rnacentral:tRNA from 1 species